UGCAGCCAAAGCAACACAGUUUAUUAAAGCAAAGAAGUGGAAUAUUCUUGAACUGCCAAAUCAGUCACCUGACCGUAACAAACUGAGCUUUUAACUUGCUGAAGACUAAACUUCUCCACACAAACAGCAACUGAAAGGCCUGGCAGAGCAUUAACAGGAGGAAACUCUUUUAUGCAAUCUUUUUGUUCAACCCACUGAAUUAAAGCUGAAGGUCUGCACUUCAACUGCAUCUGAAUUGUUGCAUUUAAAAUUCAUUGUGGUAAGGUACAGAAGCAAAAUUAGAAAAAGUUGUCUGUGUCCAAAUAUUAAUGGACAUAACUGUACGUUUGGACUGUGAGAGGAAGCCUGGAAACCCACUAAGUCACAGGAACAGGAACAGAAACUUAACGAAGGCUAGAAACAUCUUAUUGAGAAACAACAGUACUCACCACUACGCCACCAGUAACCAGAAUUUCAUCAAAAUGCCAGAGAACCAGUCUACAAAGGCUGUUUCAUUAAAUGAUAGCAACUUGAACUCUCAUUAUUGAAAUCCUAUGAAUCUCUUAAUAACUGUAGAUAACUCUAAUAGCAUAUGGGACACUGUAUUAUAAGCAUCUUUAAAUUUAUGUUUUUAAAAAGAAAAUCACAUAACAUAUAAUAAAAUAUAACCUUUAUUUAACAUCCCUACAGGCAUCGCAUCUCCCAGGAUUUACUGUUUCAUUGAGCAGUACAUGUACCUUAUAUAUACUUACUAUAACAAACAGAAAAAACAUGGUAAAUAUAGCUUUACAUACAUGUCACCAACUGAAAUAACAUACAACGUUUGGCAAACGGGGAUGGGCUGGAUCUUCCAUGCAUGCUGGAGGGAGAGUCAGGGUGUCUGAUUUGAAAUAGACAUGGAGAUGUUGGUAUGGUGUUCUGCCCAUUUCUUCAUUAUGUACACACUGCCGCACAGCCAACUUGCACCUUCUCAAACACUCUGGAAGAAAUAAGAGGGAUUUAUAAGGUUUGCACACACGCAGUCAUAUUUCCACAGAGGAUAUUAAAUUGGCAUAUUGUGCAUUAAUUUAAUGAAUUAUUUUACCGGUAACUGAAUGAUGCGCGCGCGCGCACACACACACACACACACACACACACACACACACACACACACACACACACACACACAAACUCUUACCUUAAAACAUAAGACCUGGACUUCUGCUGGUCCUCUAAAGCCAAAGAAAGGUGGAAAGAUAAUUAAAGGAAGAAGACAUUAAAUGGAAUCAUGAGAUAUUGGUAAUCACUUUAAUCAGAAACAUUCUGACAGAAAGCUUGACGGUUCGUUUAAGGUCUUGCUGUCUUGUAGGUCUGGGUGUGUCCUUAUGUGUGAGAUUGCUUAAGUGCGUAUUUUCCAUCAGGGAUUAUCUGCCUCAGUUUCUGCUCUCUUAGCCCAUUCUCCCCUCUUCUCACAGCACUCGGCCUGUUGACUCAUGGUAAUGUGAAGAGUUUGGCUGUGUGUCAGAUCAUCUGGAGUCAUUUAUAGAAGCUGUCGAGUGCCGCACUGACAUCACCCCUAUCUCUCGCCCAAUGGCCAAUCCUGCCUAAUCCUUCUUUCUCCCCAUGCGGGGCCAUCCCAUGUAAGGCUGAGCUGUAUGGGAUCACAUACUGACACCUUGUAGAGACUUAUAAGCAGGAUCACGUCAUUUAUAGGGCACAGUUUACACUUGGCCUGAAAACGCUUUUUCAGUAAUCUGAUCACAAGAGGACAGCUGUACAUAAAUACAGGUGUGAACCCAUCCAAACACACUGGAGUUGCAUUCGGAGUAGAAAGGUAUGUGACCCCAUUUACGUAACAGCAUGAUGUGAAGACACUUGUGUCCCUGACCACACUCAAGGUCAAGUUUGAAGUGUGUAUGUAUCAUGGCAACUAUUUUAUUCCCUCAAGUCAAACAACUAAGAAGGACACUGAAACUGUUCAAAGUGCAAAAAUAAUGCACAAUGGUUGUUCUCCUAUAUUGCAUAUUACAAAAUGUAAUUGGAGCUGAACAGCAACAUUCAAUCACAAGUGGUUAUUUUUAAAUAUAAUCAGUUAGAGUUUCGUCAGGAUCCCUACACUCUGAGAAGAUUUUGUUUGCUGUGACUGCUUUCUGGAACCUCUCCAUGGAAAGCACAUAGCAGAAAGAGCAACACCAUCACAGCAGGUAUCAAGAGAUUUGACACUGAUGAAGUCAGAUACAGCAUAAAAAGAAAGUGGGUUGCAAAGCUGCUUGCAGGUGAGCAUGAAACUUUAGGCAGGCUAAAGCAACAUAAAUAGAGCGUUCUGUUUGAAAUUUAACAACAGGCUGUGUACAAACAGAGUGAGUUAUCAACGGAUGUGAAUCUGCUGAUGUGUCAGAUCUUAAUAGUUAAAAGGAAAUUUUUAGCACUCCCUGUGAAAUUCUACACCACUGGAGUAAUUAAAACACCAAAACACAAAUGUGGCAGUCUAAGAGUGAGGAUAUAAAUAGCAUAAUAAAAGCAGUGAAAACAUCAGAUUUGGUAUUUCUAUUUAGCCAUCAUUAAUCCUCGCCACAUUACCACAUCUAAAAGCAGGGCUUGCAAUGUACAAAAUGCACAGAGGAUAAAGGCUGAGAGGAGACAUGAGGAGGGAAGAGGAGAGCAAGAGCGGCGUUGCUUUUAAACUGAUGAGUUUGUCACUGCAGCUCAUGGCUGGUCAGUGGCUCUGCAGGUUUUAUCAGUCUGUCCCAUUUCAUCUCCAAUGACAACUGAGCCAGUAAACUGGGUUUGCCAGUGAAAGCUUUAAUAACAAAUACUUUGUCAUAGUGAUGUUGCAUAGCAUACAGGGAGAGGCCAUCAUCAUCAUCGUUUAUUUAUAUAGCACUUUAAAAAGAAUAUAUAUACAAUAUCAGGGGACUUCAAUCAUGCCUCUUUGGACUCCACACUGCCCACCUUCACCCAGUAUGUGACCUGCUCAACCAGAGACAAUAAAACACUGGACUUACUGUAUGCCAAUGCAGAAGAGGCAUACAGUUCAUCACCUCUCCCUCCACUGGGCAAAUCUGACCACAACCUGGUGCACCUUGUCCCUGUGUAUGAGCCCUUAGUGCGCAGGGAGCCACCAGCCACCCGCACAGUGCAGAGAUGGUCAGAGGAGAGCGAGGAGGCUCUUAAGGACUGUUUUGAGUCGACUGUGUGGGAGGUGAUUUGUGACGACCAUGGAGAGGACAUCGACAGCCUUACUACAUGCAUUACUGACUAUAUUAAUUUCUGUGUGGAUAACACUGUACCUACCAGGACUGUACGGUGUUUCUCCAACAACAAACCUUGGAUUACCCCAGAAAUUAAAGCUGUCCUCAAGCAGAAGAGGAGGGCCUUCAAAUCCAAAGACAAAGAGGAGUUGAAAAGGGUGCAGAGAGAGUUGAGGGGACUGAUAAGGAAUGGGAAGGAGAGCUACAGGCAGAAGAUGGAGAACCAGCUUCAACAAAACAACGUUGGUGAAGUCUGGAGAGGCCUCAGAACCAUCUCAGGCCACAAACAGCAGAACUCUCUGCCUGGGAGGGAUGUGAGGUGGGCAAAUGAACUGAAUAAUUUCUUCAACAGAUUUGAUUCAACCAUGAGACAGUCUACAACAUCGGCUGCAGACUCACCCACCCCCACUGCUGCUGUUCCACCUCAGACACUUCACACCUCCUCUAUUCACCCUGCUCACUCCUCCCCACCCCCAACAACAGCAUCCAAUACACACUCAACACAAGGCUCUGUGAUGGAGCACCUCUUCAACCUGAGCCUGAGGUUGGGAAGAGUCCCACAGCUCUGGAAAACCUCCUGUGUUGUACCAGUGCCAAAGACUUCACGCCCCAAGGACCUCAACAGCUACAGGCCGGUGGCUCUGACAUCCCACCUGAUGAAGACCCUGGAGCGGUUGGUCCUGGCUCAGCUUCGGCGCCUAACAAGCUCAUCACU
ensembl:lncRNA